rnacentral:rRNA from 1 species
UACAGAGGUCCCAAGCGUUGUUCGGAUUCACUGGGCGUAAAGGGUGCGUAGGCGGCGAGGUAAGUCGGAUGUGAAAUCUCCGAGCUCAACUCGGAAAUGGCAUUGGAAACUACCUUGCUCGAGGGUUGGAGGGGGGACUGGAAUACUUGGUGUAGCAGUGAAAUGCGUAGAUAUCAAGUGGAACACCAGUGGCGAAGGCGAGUCCCUGGACAACUCCUGACACUGAGGCACGAAAGCUAGGGGAGCAAACAGG